UACAGAGGGUGCAAGCGUUAAUCGGAAUUACUGGGCGUAAAGCGCGCGUAGGCGGUUGUGCAAGUUGGAGGUGAAAUCCCCGGGCUUAACCUGGGCACUGCCUUCAAAACUUCCGUGCUCGAGUGAGGUAGAGGUGAGCGGAACUUAGGGUGGAGCGGUGAAAUGCGUUGAUAUCCUAAGGAACACCGGUGGCGAAAACGGCUCACUGGACCUUUUCUGACGCUGAGGCACGAAAGCUAGGGGAGCAAACGGG
rnacentral:rRNA from 1 species